rnacentral:rRNA from 1 species
GGACUACCGGGGUUUCUAAUCCUGUUUGAUCCCCACGCUUUCGCGCCUCAGCGUCAGUUGUGCGCCAGAUAGCCGCCUUCGCCACCGGUGUUCCUCCUAAUAUCUACGAAUUUCACCUCUACAUUAGGAAUUCCGCUAUCCCCUCACACACUCCAGCUAUACAGUUUCAAAGGCAGUUCCGGAGUUAAGCUCCGGGAUUUCACCCCUGACUUGUAUAACCGCCUACGCGCUCUUUACGCCCAGUAAUUCCGAACAACGCUAGCACCCUUCGUAUUACCGCGGCGGCUGGCAC